rnacentral:lncRNA from 1 species
GGAAAACCACAGCCAGCACAGCAACCGCCCGCAGCCCGCCCAGCUGCUGGCACUCAGUUACGGAGCUGGUGUUAGCUCCAGGUGUAGCUAAAGCCUGAGAUUAUGCCGUUACGCAGCAAAGGGUGCUGUGAAACACGGUGGAGCAGAAGGACUUAAAAGGAGCUGGUGCAAGGCAGGAAAGAGCCUGGGAAAGUGAGGAUGUGGGGCUGGUGGCUUGGUGCAGUUCCAACCACAAUCAGUGCAUAAACCUACCUACAACCCAGGAUGUUGGAAAAUUACCGAGAAACAGCCCCAUCCUCCCAGCUGCUUGGUGAGAAGGGAAGGAUGCACCUUCAGUUCAAAUACUGGGCUUGGUGACCCACCUUCCAGGAUCCCCAAUGCUGUGUCCAGUGUGCCUCCCAGUCCCUACAGACCACUAGGCGACAUUCAUGACUUUAGCAGGAACCAGCAGCAACAUACAGGCACAAAGGUGGGCCAAGUGACCAGGCACAGACAGCCAGAAGCCCAGAAGCAAAUGGAGAUGGAGACCAGUGUCGCAAUGGGCAGCAAAAAGAAAACAAGGAGAUGUACUGUAAAAAGUGAGUGGAAGGCUUGUCUCUAAGCCAGAGGGACUCCUUUGCACAAGCGUCUAACUUCAUGACUUCCCCCACAAGAUGCCACAGGCCUGAUCAUGCAGGACCACGCUCAGCCACCCAGACCUUGGUAGGAGUACCUGGCCCGUGGCUGCUGAGCACCUUGGGCACCGAGGUCCACUUUUGCCACGGAGACUUCCCCACCAGCUCCAAGCCAUGAGGAAAAGAGAGAGGAGAGAAAAGCUGCCGAAGAAACACUAACCCACAUCCUCCCGGCCCCCACCCCAUGCCCCACUUCCAGUAGACCAGGGAACCCCU